UGGGGAAUCUUCCGCAAUGGACGAAAGUCUGACGGAGCAACGCCGCGUGAGUGAUGAAGGAUUUCGGUCUGUAAAGCUCUGUUGUUUAUGACGAACGUGCAGUGUGUGAACAAUGCAUUGCAAUGACGGUAGUAAACGAGGAAGCCACGGCUAACUACGUGCCAGCAGCCGCGGUAAUACGUAGGUGGCGAGCGUUGUCCGGAAUUAUUGGGCGUAAAGAGCAUGUAGGCGGCUUAAUAAGUCGAGCGUGAAAAUGCGGGGCUCAACCCCGUAUGGCGCUGGAAACUGUUAGGCUUGAGUGCAGGAGAGGAAAGGGGAAUUCCCAGUGUAGCGGUGAGAUGCGUAGAUAUUGGGAGGAACACCAGUGGCGAAGGCGCCUUUCUGGACUGUGUCUGACGCUGAGAUGCGAAAACCAGGGUAGCGAACGGG
rnacentral:rRNA from 1 species